AGAGGUGGAGAAGGAUCGAGAAAAAGGGAAGAAGGAAAUCAAAAGAGGGGAUCUCUAGGAUCUCUCUCUUUUUCUGGGGGAGGAAGAGAGGACUCCCUUUUCUCUUGAUUUUUUCUGGGGCGGUUUGAGAGGACACCCAUGGGGAGCGAGUCUUGCGAGUGUGAUCACCAAAACACUACCAGGGAAGAGAGAAAGAACUGGGAGAGGAUGUGCAGAUAGUCCUGACGAGCAGCCUUACGAGCUUAUUGGUUUCUCCCCAUUAGUCGACCCAAAAAUAAAGAGAAGAAAGGACAAAUGGAAGGAAGGGAUUAGAAAUUAAUUAGGAGCAGAGAGAAGGGAGUUGAAGAUAUUCGUAUCCUUCUCGCUUGGGAUGUCAACCUGCAUAAUGACUUGCAGUGGUGAUAGGAGUUUAUUGGUGAUGAACUACGAAUGGCUUGAUCCCUAUUGAGGGUAUGUAGACAGUCUAACGAAGAGGUUAGAUGCAGCCAUAAAGUAUACGAAAAUUACUAUGCGAACUGAUACUCGAGUUGUGCUUUGCCAUAUCUCGGAGGCAGGGUAUGUUAGAUAUACUGAGACUUGAUGAUGUCACGUUUCGAUCUUGGAAGUAUGUCAGGAUAGGGCGUGACAGCAACGGUCACCAAGUGGAGAAAAUUUUCAUUAUGCCUGUAAUAUAGAUAGUACAUGUACACCACUUGUCAUUAUAUAAGUAGAGGGAAGUUUAACUUUUUAAGU